GUAUGCUCUUUCACAGUAGGUACAUAUGCAAAUUUAUCUUUUUGUUGGUUGUUUUUUGCUUCUUGCAGCAUCCCGGGUACAUAUGUGAGGCUAUGGGAGUCCUUUUUUCGUGUGAUGAUGAGAGGAAUAUGACAGGACAACCAAUUGUACCAUGUGAACACAAUUGCUGGGGGAUAAGCUGGUCAAUGCGCGAAAAUCUGUAAGAAAGUGACUAAAAUCAACAUUUGAAGGUACAACCUGUGUUAUGUUACUACAAAAAUUAAUGUUGUGGUCUGUUAUUGAGAAUCAUGAGUUUCCUGACAAUGAGACCCAUUAGUUAGAAUCUAUUGUACUAGGAUCUUUGCUUCGCAUCCCAUAUGUGCCAAGUUACGGGUAGAACUGUGCAUCGAAUUUAUUGUGCUGGGAUCUUUGCUUCGCAUCCCAUAUGUGCAAGUAUGCGAGUGAGACUGGCUUUGCUCUAACCAUGAUGAUUUUCUUUUCUUGGCAGAUGUUCAAAAUCAAAUAGGAUGGCUACCUGAAGUACGAUCCUCAGAAAUCGUAAGAAGCAGAAGUUAUUGGUACAUAAAUGAACAGAAGGUUUUGAGUACUAAAUAGAAGCGCUUGGAUCUGGGUCAGCCAGGAUCCGGUUGAUUCUGCC